UACAGAGGUCCCAAGCGUUGUUCGGAUUAACUGGGCGUAAAGGGUGCGUAGGCGGGUCUUUUAAGUCAGGGGUGAAAUCCUGGAGCUCAACUCCAGAACUGCCUUUGAUACUGAAGAUCUUGAGUUCGGGAGAGGUGAGUGGAACUGCGAGUGUAGAGGUGAAAUUCGUAGAUAUUCGCAAGAACACCAGUGGCGAAGGCGGCUCACUGGCCCGAUACUGACGCUGAGGCACGAAAGCGUGGGGAGCAAACAGG
rnacentral:rRNA from 1 species